rnacentral:rRNA from 1 species
UGGGGAAUAUUGCACAAUGGGCGCAAGCCUGAUGCAGCCAUGCCGCGUGUGUGAAGAAGGCCUUCGGGUUGUAAAGCACUUUCAGCGAGGAGGAAGGGUAGUGUGUUAAUAGCACAUUGCAUUGACGUUACUCGCAGAAGAAGCACCGGCUAACUCCGUGCCAGCAGCCGCGGUAAUACGGAGGGUGCAAGCGUUAAUCGGAAUUACUGGGCGUAAAGCGCACGCAGGCGGUUUGUUAAGUCAGAUGUGAAAUCCCCGCGCUUAACGUGGGAACUGCAUUUGAAACUGGCAAGCUAGAGUCUUGUAGAGGGGGGUAGAAUUCCAGGUGUAGCGGUGAAAUGCGUAGAGAUCUGGAGGAAUACCGGUGGCGAAGGCGGCCCCCUGGACAAAGACUGACGCUCAGGUGCGAAAGCG